AAGAAAAAAUUUAGUUGUUUUUAUUGUUUUAAAAUUAUUUAAUAUAAAUAAAUUUAAAUUUAAAAGUUUUUGUAUUGUUUAAAGAUCAAAUAAUUUUUUUUAUAGAUAAGUAGUAUUGAGAAAGAAAGUUGAAAAAUUUUUUUGUUUAUUAAAAAGUAGUAUUAAUUUUAUGUACCUUUUGUAUCAGGGUUUAUUAAAUAAGAAUAAAAAAUUUUAUGUUCUCGAAUUUAAAGGGGCUAAGUUAGUAUGAAAUUUUUUGUUUUAUAAAGAUUUUAAAUAUUAAUUUAGUAAUGAAAUGUUAUUCGUCUUUAAAUAUAUCUAGUUUUUUAAGAAAUAAAUUUAAUUUAUAUAUUAAUUAAUUAAUUUUUUAAUUUUUAAAUUGAUUAAUAAUUAAUAUAAAUAUAUCAAGGGAUAAGCUUUGAUUUAUGAAAAUUAUAAUUGUAUAGAAUAUUUUCUUAGUUGUAGAUUUAGAAAUAGUUAUCAAUAAAAAAUUUGUAUUAAUUUAUAAAUUAAUAAAAAAUAUUUAGUAGAAUUUAAUUUGAAUAUUAAAAUGUAAAUUUUAAUUUUGAAAAUUUAGUAAUAAUGAUAAAAUUAGUAUAGUAGAAUUGUUUAAAUUAAAUUUAUAAAAAGAUUAUUUUAAGGAAUUCGGCAAAAAUAAUGUUCACCUGUUUAACAAAAACAUGUCUUUUAGAAUAUAAUUUAAAGUCUAACCUGCCCACUGAAUUAAUUUGAAGGGCCGCGGUAUUUUGACUGUGCAAAGGUAGCAUAAUCAUUAGUCUUUUAAUUGGAGGCUUGUAUGAAUGGUUGGAUGAAACAUUAACUGUCUCAAUUUAAUAAAAAUAGAAUUUAAUUUUUAAGUUAAAAAGCUUAAAUUUAAUUAGAGGACGAGAAGACCCUAUAGAUCUUUAUAAUUAAUUAUUUAUUAUUAGUUUAGUAAAUUAAUUUUUAUUAAUUAAUUAAUUAUUUUAUUGGGGUGAUAAAUAAAUUUGGUAAACUUUAUUUAAUAUAAACAUUUAUUUAUGAAUAUUUGAUCCAUUAUUAGUGAUUAAAAGAUUAAGUUACCUUAGGGAUAACAGCGUAAUUUUUUUAGAGAGUUCUAAUCGAUAAAAAAGUUUGCGACCUCGAUGUUGAAUUAAAGGUUAAUUUUAGGUGCAGAAGUUUAAAGUUUUGGUCUGUUCGACCAUUAAAUCUUUACAUGAUUUGAGUUCAAACCGGCGUGAGCCAGGUUGGUUUCUAUCCUUAAUAAGAUAAAAUAUUUUAGUACGAAAGGACCAAAUAUUUAAAAAAUUUUUUUAAUUAGAAUAAUAUUAAU
rnacentral:rRNA from 1 species